CCGUAGGUGAACCUGCGGAAGGAUCAUUAU
rnacentral:ncRNA from 4 species